UACGGGGGGGGGCAAGCGUUGUUCGGAAUUACUGGGCGUAAAGGGCUCGUAGGCGGCCAACUAAGUCAGACGUGAAAUCCCUCGGCUUAACCGGGGGAACUGCAUCUGAUACUGGAUGGCUUGAGAUUGGGAGAGGGAUGCGGAAUUCCAGGUGUAGCGGUGAAAUGCGUAGAUAUCUGGAGGAACACCGGUGGCGAAGGCGGCAUCCUGGACCAACACUGACGCUGAGGAGCGAAAAGCCAGGGGAGCAAACGGG
rnacentral:rRNA from 1 species